UCACUUGGGCAGUGUAUAUGUUAAAAUUAGAAUGAUCCAGAGAAGAUCAGCAUGGCACCUGUGCUAGGAUGAUAUGAAAAUUCAUAAAGCAUUUCAUAUUUUU